AAGCAGUAAGGCUGAGUAUUAGGCAAAUCCGGUACUCGUUAAGGCUGAGCUGUGAUGGGGAGAAGACAUUGUGUCUUCGAGUCGUUGAUUUCACACUGCCGAGAAAAGCCUCUAGAUAGAAAAUAGGUGCCCGUACCGCAAACCGACACAGGUAGUCAAGAUGAGAAUUCUAAGGUGAGCGAGCGAACUCUCGUUAAGGAACUCGGCAAAAUGACCCCGUAACUUCGGGAGAAGGGGUGCUCUUUAGGGUUAACGCCCAGAAGAGCCGCAGUGAAUAGGCCCAAGCGACUGUUUAUCAAAAACACAGGUCUCUGCUAAACCGUAAGGUGAUGUAUAGGGGCUGACGCCUGCCCGGUGCUGGAAGGUUAAGAGGAGUGGUUAGCUUCUGCGAAGCUACGAAUCGAAGCCCCAGUAAACGGCGGCCGUAACUAUAACGGUCCUAAGGUAGCGAAAUUCCUUGUCGGGUAAGUUCCGACCCGCACGAAAGGCGUAACGAUUUGGGCACUGUCUCAACGAGAGACUCGGUGAAAUCAUAGUACCUGUGAAGAUGCAGGUUACCCGCGACAGGACGGAAAGACCCCGUGGAGCUUUACUGUAGCCUGAUAUUGAAAUUCGGCACAGCUUGUACAGGAUAGGUAGGAGCCUUUGAAACGUGAGCGCUAGCUUACGUGGAGGCGCUGGUGGG
rnacentral:rRNA from 1 species